UACGUAGGGGGCGAGCGUUGUCCGGAUUUACUGGGCGUAAAGCGCGUGUAGGCGGCUGCUUAAGUCGGGUGUGAAAGCCCGGGGCUCAACCCCGGGAUGCCGCCCGAGACUGGGCGGCUUGAGGUCGGAAGAGGGGAGUGGAAUUCCUGGUGUAGCGGUGAAAUGCGCAGAUAUCAGGAGGAACACCAAUGGCGAAGGCAGCUCGCUGGGACGUGACUGACGCUGAGACGCGAAAGCGUGGGGAGCAAACAGG
rnacentral:rRNA from 1 species